AGAAGCUUAGGAUUAAACUUAUUAAACCGGUGGCCUUCAACGCCACAAACAAGGGGGGAGCCCUUAGCUUCUG
rnacentral:tRNA from 1 species